UUUAUUCUCUUUGAAGUAUAACCGUAAAUUCACUACCAAACUUCUGGCAUCUUAAAAAUCAUAGCAAGUGCUCUAAAUCCUAAUCUACAAGUACCUAAGUAAUAUUUUCUUUAUAUCUUGAAUAUCCAAAACUUAAAUACCACAAAAUUUAUGCAUGAAGUUUAACAACAUGAUUAUAUAAAUUUUUGGAAAUUUUGAGACAAAAUCUAUCAAAUUGCUCAAGAUAUAGCUCAAAAGACAACCACUAGUGAAUCAAGUCACUUACUACCUUUAGAUUUGAAGCAUUGAUUUCAACUUCCAAUAUCUCCUUCAUGCCAACUUGGAAUUCAUUAGGUAGUGUACAAAAUAUGUAGCCAAAAAAAUGCUCUUUUUAAUUCUAGUCGCUAAUCCUUGAUUUCUUUUUGAAUACAUGUAUUAUGUUCAAAAGAGUGAUGGUAGGUAUAUAAUCAUCACCUUAACUUUGAGCAUCCAUAUCUCUUUCAUAUAAACUCCAAAUCAUACAAAAAUUAUACCAAAACUAUAGCCAAAAAUCUAAACUUUUUGAUUCUAUCCUUUAAAGUUCGAAUUACCUUGAAAGAAUAAUCUUAAUCUCUAAUAAGGCCUCAGACAACUUCCUUGAAGCCCAUUCGAUAUGAUUUUUGGCUAAUAGGAAUAGAGAUUUUCAUCAUCCAUCUCCAUACAUCCAUAUGGAUGUCCUAAAUGCUCUUU
rnacentral:lncRNA from 1 species